UACGUAGGGGGCAAGCGUUGUCCGGAUUUAUUGGGCGUAAAGAGCGUGUAGGCGGCCAUGCAGGUCCGUUGUGAAAACUCGAGGCUCAACCUCGAGACGCCGAUGGAAACCGCAUGGCUAGAGUCCGGAAGAGGAGAAUGGAAUUCCUGGUGUAGCGGUGAAAUGCGCAGAUAUCAGGAAGAACACCCGUGGCUAAGGCGGUUCUCUAGUACGGUACUGACGCUGAGACGCGAAAGCGUGGGGAGCGAACAGG
rnacentral:rRNA from 1 species